rnacentral:rRNA from 1 species
GGAGUGGUGUGCAAAUGAAGUAGGUAGCUUAACCUUCGGGUGGGCGCUUACCACUUUGUGAUUCAUGACUGGGGUGAUGUCGUAACAAGGUAACCGUAGGGGAACCUGCGGUUGGAUCACCUCCUUACCUGAAAGAA